rnacentral:lncRNA from 1 species
AUGGAAGGUCCCCUUCAGACAGGACCUUCUGUCACUGUCAGAAAGGGAAGUGCUGCAACCGUGCCCUCAUCUGUGGAAGCUGCAGGUCUGCCUUCUGAAAGGUCUAACCUGCUAGCUAAAUGUCUUCCCCCAGCUGUGGUGAAUACUAUUCAGAGCUCAAAUGCAUGCUCCACUAGGGGUUUAUAUGCUUAUAAGUGGAAGGCUUUUGAAGUGUGGUGUCUAAACAGGUCAGUAGUUCCCUCACAGAGCUCCAUUGUGGACAUUCUGUCAUUUCUACAGAAUCUGCUGGACAAGGGUUUGUCAUUCUUCACUUUAAAGGUCUACCUGGCAGCCAUUUCAGCUUGCCAUAAAUCUUUUAAUGGAGUUUCUCCUGGCGCUCACCCUUUAGCCGUUCGGUUCAUGAAAGGGGUUCACAGACUGAGUCCCAUUAUUAGAUCAUCUGUCCCUUCUUGGGACCUCGCUUUGGUGCUGGAGGCCCUGUGUGGUCCCCCAUUUGAGCUUAUUGAAUCGAUCAGUAUGAAGCUUCUGUCUUAUAAGACAGCUCUGCUCUUAGCCCUUGUAUCGGCUAAAAGGGUGGGAGAUCUUCAUGCUCUUUCAGUUCACCCUUCCUGUCUGAAAAUGUCAUCAGAUGGAACUAGGGUCACUCUGCAUCCAAAUGUUGCAUAUUUGCCUAAGGUGAUCCCGCUCAACUACGGUUCCAUGACCAUAGAGCUUUCAGGCUUCAGUAGUCCUCCUUUUGUCUCUGAGGAGCAGAGGAGACUGCAUUGUCCGUGCCCGGUUCGUGCUCUGCAGGCUUAUAUAGAUCGCACUCGGAGUAUCAGAAAAACAGACCAACUGUUUGUGUGUUUUGACAAACCCUCCAUGGGUUUGUCAAAGCAAAGAUUUUCUCAUUGGAUUGUGGAGGCCAUUUCCCUGUGUUACAGCACCACUGGCUCCCAGCUGCCCCUAGGGGUCAGGGCACACUCUGCUAGAGAUGUGGCUGCUUCUUGGGCGCUGUUUAAAGGUGUUUCAGUUGGUGACAUCUGCUCAGCUUCAAGCUGGGCUACACCCCACACCUUUGUGAGGUUUUACUGCUUGGAUGUUCUGGCCCCUUCGGUGGCCCAUGCGGUUCUCUCUGCUGGAUCUGACUUGCCAUCUUAG